GUGGCGGGUGGUGUGUUGACACACACCUCAAGACUCGGGCGGUCUUCAUCGAACUGUGGGUAGUCUGUUCGAGGACACAGCACUACUAGCCCUGCUUUCUCCCCGGCUCCCUCUCCCUGUGCGGUGCGCGCGCGUGUGUCUGUGAGUGCGUGCGGUUCCAGAAGUGCUCGUGUUGGUUGGCGCAGAGUCGUCGUUGUCUCGCGGUGGAGAGAGGGGGGGAUCCUUGUUGUACCACCAUUCAGCUGGCCGCCAUUUUCAUAAUGAGCUUGAGGGAAGGCCUUCCUCAGGGGAAUAACGUCAGUGUACGUCAGCGAGGGGACAUGAAUAUUCAUUAGGUGCCUGCCAUAUUGGAGCUGGAAGGGAAGUUUGUGGUGAGCGGACACACAGGCACACACGGGCCAGCCAGAGACCAUGUCGGGGGGUGGACAGUACUGAACUCUCCAGGAUUUAUAACAAACGUUCCCCGUGUGCUGGAGGCCAACAGGCAAUGGCUUCCCUCCCCCGCCUAGCUCUGUUCUUAGCCGUUUCUCUUAUCACAGAGCACUGCCACGGUACCAGGACUUCUCUACAACCCUUCCCUUUGGGUACUAUAGGCUGCCUAGUCUCGGACGUCUGCGACCAGG